rnacentral:hammerhead_ribozyme from 1 species
GCACUACUGAAGAGUCCCAUACUAGGACGAAACGGCAGUCUAGUGC